GUGCCAGCCGCCGCGGUAAUACCGGCAGCCCGAGUGAUGGCCGAUCUUAUUGGGCCUAAAGCGUCCGUAGCUGGCUGCGCAAGUCCGUCGGGAAAUCCACUCGCCCAACGAGUGGGCGUCCGACGGAAACUGCACGGCUUGGGACCGGAAGGCUCGAAGGGUACGUUCGGGGUAGGAGUGAAAUCCCAUAAUCCCGCACGGACCACCGAUGGCGAAAGCGCCUCGGAAGGACGGACCCGACGGUGAGGGACGAAAGCCAGGGUCUCGAACCGGAUUAGAUACCCCGGUAGUCC
rnacentral:rRNA from 1 species